CCUACGGGUGGCAGCAGUAGGGGAUAUUGCUCAAUGGGGGAAACCCUGAAGCAGCAACGCCGCGUGGAGGAUGAAGGGUUUCGGAUCGUAAACCCCUUUUGUUAGAGAAGAUAAUGACGGUAUCUAACGAAUAAGCCCCGGCUAACUUCGUGCCAGCAGCCGCGGUAAUACGGAGGGUGCAAGCGUUACUCGGAAUUACUGGGCGUAAAGAGGGCGUAGGCGGGGUAGCAAGUCAGAUGUGAAAGCCUAUGGCUUAACCACAGAACUGCAUUUGAAACUGGUAUUCUGGAGUGUAGGAGAGGAAGGUGGAAUUCUUGGUGUAGCGGUGAAAUGCGUAGAGAUCAGGAGGAACACUCGUUGCGAAGGCGGCCUGCUGGACCGUAACUGACGCUGAUGCGCGAAAGCGUGGGGAGCAAACAGGAUUAGAUACCCUUGUAGUC
rnacentral:rRNA from 1 species